rnacentral:tRNA from 1 species
GGAGGGAUGGCAGAGAGGACGAUUGCGGCGGUCUUGAAAACCGUUGUGGGCUUUGCCCACCGGGGGUUCGAAUCCCUCUCCCUCCG